GAAUUCCAUAAACGACAGCCUACUGCUCACUGCCUACUGGUAACUGGACAGCCUGCUGCUCACUGCCUACUGCUAACUGCUUAUUGACAGUCUAAGUCUAUGUAUGGAUCAAAUAGAAGUAUUCCGAAUGUACACACAUGUGUACCCGCCAUUUUGUUGAAAAAAAUCUGCUGGGAAAACAAUGUACAGAGGAUGAUAAAUCUGACAGAAACAUUUCAAUGGAGGAACAGCCUAUACUUUCAUUGACUUCACAGACAAGUUACAGAACCAAUACACCUGUAUGAAAAUAUUGAAAUAACAGUGGAAGAGGAAAAGACUACAAAAAUGUAUUGGAUCUUAUGAAAGCAUAAACAAAGAUAAACUCGGCUGUAUUCAAAUUGUUUCAAAAACGUUCAAUAUUUCAAUGACAUAAUUUAAAGAGUGCAAACAUGAAGUGAUAAAUUACAGUUUGGAUCAGCUUAUUUUACUUUUAUGAAAAGCCAUCGUUAUUCUCUUCUUUAAAUUCAAUAGUGCAGUUGAAAAACUAUGAGAAAUAAUAGAUUCUUAACUAUUUAUAUUUACUUAAAAAUUUCUGAUAGAUCAUGUUAAUGUUACAAUAUAUUUUUUUGACGUGUUUGUUUAAAAUCCAUCUUUUAUAUAAUUUUUAUAAUUAUCUUGUUAACAAACACACUUAAAAGUGAUCUUUUAGGUUAGUUAUUUCUUCUAUUUCUUUUUGCAAUUACCUCAAGUAAAACCAAUGAGCAAAUCUGCCUUCGUAUUUGCCAGAAAGUCAUUACUAUUUCUAUCAGGGUUCUAGAGGUUUGACAAGUUCAAUUGACAAGACAAUGGUAAACAGUUCUAAGACAUCGUGAUAGUGUAGAGCUUCUAUGAUAUGAUAUGAAGCAUUUUUAAGUUACCUUUCUUACAACGUGUAUAUCACUUUACAUUGCAGAGUAUAUUUACAUUAAUAUAAUUUCAUAACAACUACAUGUAUAUAAUUCAUAACAGAACUUUUAACUAUAAUCCUGAUUUUAAAUUAAUUGCUUUCCCCGAAACUUUACAAAUAUUUUAUAUAGAUUUUGAUUUUUUACAGGCGUGUCAUAAUUUUUUUAUUAAAUAACGGUCUAAACAAGAAAAUAUUAGCUUACUGGUCUCAUUAUUGGGACUUAACAUACUUUUUAUGUGGUGUUAUAAUCAAUAAGUGUAUUUUGUUUUCGUUUUAAUUGUAAAUAAAAAAGUUCUUUAAAAAAAAAAUAUCAUAAUUUU